CUUUUUCUUUGUAGAGAAAAGAGCCCCAGCCUAUUGAAUUUUUUUCUCUCUCUGAUAGGCAUAACCUCUCAGUUCUGGUGUCAAUCUCGUGAAGCUGAACACCCAGUUUUAGAAUGUGUGAACCCAGUCCUAUUGCGUGUGACUCCAGUUCCAGUGAUUGCAGAGUGCCUGGGCUGAGGGGAGGACUGUCUGGUCCGGGAGAGAGCUGAGUGUGGGCUGCAGAAUGUUUUUUGUAAUUUGCUUUCCUGUGUAAAUGUCAAAUCAGUCUUAACCCCCCCGGUCGGAGCCUGUGUUAACUUGCAGAGUUUCCGCUUAUAGCCUUCGGGCCACGUUGAAGGUUUGUGGUGUUGCAAAAACACUUCGUCGCCGCAAAAUGUACAUGGCACGGAAAUGAAGAAGACGCAAUGUUAUUGAGACAGAGCAACACGCUUCUCGGAUUCAGAGUUUAUUUUUAGUCCUUCAGAUGCGCUGCCGAGUCCACAAUGUGACGACACAGACAACGGCAAAACAAAUAAAUGUUGCCUGGGCUGCAGCAGGCAAGCUGGAGUUGAUGAUAUUCUCUGACCUUUGGGCUCCCUUUACUUAACAUUUGACAAAGUUAUAUGUGGUCUGUAAGGGAUAGGUGCUGGUGGGUGGGUGAAUUUGUGGAAUUUAAUUCUGCAACAAAGUAUUGUCCUCCUUCAAUGGCACUUUACUUCAAAUGUCCUCAACAGCUGUUCUCAGGGACCACAGUCAAGACUCUUUGUCCAGUUGCUGAACAGAGGUCAUCUUUACAAACUCAACCUGCCCAGUUAUUUGCUCUUGAUUGCUGCUGAUGCUGAAUAUCGCAAUUUUUAAAAAAAUGUGGAAACACUCAACAGGCCUGACAGCAUCUGUGGAAAGAGUAAACAGAGUUAACGUUUCAGGUCAACGACCUUUCAUCAGAACUGGGAGCUGUUGGAGAUGUAUCAGCUUAUAAGCAAGUACAGAGCCAGGGGUUUUGGGAAGGAAGGAAAAGAGCAAAAGAGAUGUUCUGUCAUACAGUGGGAAGCAGGAGCGAUUGAAUGACAAAGUGGUUGAUGAUACAAGAAUGGAGAGUUAUGAAGAAUUCUGCAAAACUCGACUUGCUCAGAUCAAAUCUAAGGUUAAGUUGGAGAAAAGUUCUCUACCAGCAAAAAAUGGCAGAGGUUCUUUGAUUCGGUUUCAUGGUAUUGCUAUACUUCCACCACUGCUUUCUCCAGAACAUAGGAAAGAGAUACAGAAAUUACAAUUGAAGGCCAUGAGUUAUAGUGAAACCGCAAAGGGCAAACUGGAUGAAACACAAACAAAUAUGCAGUUAUCGGAGGUGGAUAACCUGCUCAACAGUGUGCAGCUAAUUGAGGUGCCGGCAGUUAAGGAGAUUCUAGAAGAUUAUUCAUUUUUAAUGUUCCCUAACAUGCCUGUGAAUAACGACCCUGUUAAAGAGGUGAACAGUGAAUGUGUAAAGGAUUCCAACUCAACCACUAUGCACAAAACCUCACAUGGACACAAUGAGCCUCAAAUACCUGACCCUACUGUUGCACAGAUGUCGAAUGACAUUGAAGAAAUAUAUACUACAAACCUUAUGCCAGAUCCUGUACCUGUAAAAAUGAGGUCUGAUUUGAUUAAUGAAAGAUCUGGCAUUUCAGAUUACCAUGCCAGUUUUUCUUGCUUGGAUCUUGUGGCGAGAAAUAGUACAAGGGCCAAUGGUCACAUAAAGAAUGGCCCCAAAUCAGAUGACUUUCACAAAGCAACUGCUCAUGCUGUUCAAAAUUUUACCAUACAUAAAAUGACUGAUACAACAAAACACAAAGCUACUAAUUCUAUCAAUAAGCAAGAGAAUUUAUGUAGCUUUGGGAGUGCUGACUCUAUCGUAAUACUCACAGGAGAUGAAACCAACAGCAGUAAUUCAGAAUGCCUCCAUAAUCUGACUGAUAAGACUGAUGUGAGCCAUAAUUCAUCUCCUGACACCCCUGCACUUAGCCUACAGAACCUAUUAAAAAAAUCAAGAGAGUAUCGAGAUAGGCAGAGACAAUCAAAGCUGCUGAAAAUCUUACAAUUCAAUAUUCCAGGAAAAAACCUUUCGGACAAGGAAAACGAACUGGAUGCAACUAAAGAGGGCAAAAGUACCAGGGGGAAAAGAAAUGAUUCAGGAAAAAUCAUGCUGCCUAACACAACUUUAAAGCCUGAACCAGCUCUGUUUUCUGUUUUCUUAUCUUGUUCCCAUUCUUUUUCUGAACACAACCAAACUUUAAUAACCCAUGACGUGAACACAGGAAAGACAAACAUAGGGCUGCCUAAGUCUCAGAUGUUACCUAAGGAGAAUAAAGGUACCAAAGUAGAUGAGGCAGAUUCUAAGAUCAACUUCAAGCCCUCAAAGCCAUUUAAAAUGAUAAGGAAAUGUGACUACUCCAAGGGAAGCCCAGAACAAUUAAACGCUGGGGGACAAGUACCCCGAUGCCAAGAGAGAGGUAACAACCUGAGUGGGUCUACAAAAAGUCAAAAUAAAGAUUUUGUGGUACCCAAAUUGACAUUGAGCAAAAGUCCAGUGCUUUCAAAAAAGUGGAUAUGCCCAUCACAAAAGCUGCUAGUAAAUACUCCACUCAGUGUAAGUAGCGAAAAGAUUGAACAACAGCAGAAAGGAGAGAGUGCGGACAUACUGGGGGAUCAGCCAAAAAUCAGCCGAGAUCAGACACAAUAUAUUACUGACCUGGAGGUGAACCAGGCCUAUUUGAGAACAGACUUGCAAACCACACUAGCUUCAUCCUCUGAAGUAACAAGAAAUGAGCAGUUGCUCAAUAGUGAAGCAGCUCCACUGGAGGGAAAUAGUGACUCAUUGUGCAUCCAGUACACACAGGAAGAUGAUGAAAGCACUGACAUUGUGGUAGCCAACUUACAUUGGAAUAAAGGACAUAAUGAUCUAAGGUUUCCAUCACAUGAAAAUUCUAUCCCACAGACUGUCAAUCGUGCUCCUGCUGCAUUUCAUGCCAAUAAAUUACAGUCUUUUGUCACACAAAAAAUGUAGCGCCCAGGCAACAGUUAUUGGCACAGCAUGCUCCCACAAUAACAAUGCUUCAGGUAGUGAGUCUCAAGCCCACCAUUCAUAUGACUGCAAAACCAAACUAUUAGCAAGUGCUGUGAUAUGGAUUUUCCUUUUGCGCUUUGAACACAGAUUUUAAAUUGAAACAGGGGAUGGAUAAUUCAAAACUUCAGAACUUGGACUGAAUCAAUUGGACUGCAAAGUCAAAAGGAAUACUGCCAGCAAUGGGCAGGAACAGCAGCCUGUUUCUCUGACUGGAUCCUCCAGUCUGAACUGAGAAGUGUAAAAAAAACGACUUCAGCCACUUGCAUGAUGAAAAGGACACUUCAGGCUGACAGAAUAAUAUUGCUGCCUGGGAGGAAUUUCUGGCAAAAUAUCAACUGCUUGCAAGGCUUUUGAAGGAGGCUGAAGUUUCCAAUAAAUGUUAGUGACGGCAUUCAAAUUAGAAUGGUCAAUUUGGUAGAUGCUGCCAGACCUGCUGCAUUUUUCUGGCAUUUUCUGUUUUUAUUUAACCUACUUCUUGACUGGCUGUUCCUCUCAUGACGAUGCUGCCACUCACUUGUUGCUGUUGCUAUAUCCAGUUCUGUAGAAAAUAUCAGAUGGUUGACUACACAGGAUCAGACAACAUUGAAGAAUCUUUGGGCCUUCUAUCAACUUUAAAUGAAACAAUUACUGUGGAACAAAAUACCCAAUGCAACAGCAAUGGCCUUUGUUUUACAUCAACAGUUAUCAACUUCUUCCAGGGCUUGGGCAAAGGCACAAAAACUAACAAUUAUUUUGGUGCCUCAGCUUCAUGCUUUGGAAAACAUCAGAAAGAAAUCAUGAGUGAAGACAUUAGCCUGACAGUGCGUAUGGCUUUAGAAUGACAUGGACAGGUCAUUGCAUUCCAUCCUGAGGCACAUUUUAUUGCUUAUCCAAUGAAAGACAAUCUAACACACAGAGGAGUGCGCAAACCCAAUGGUAAACAUCAACAACAUACUCCCAUACCAUCUUUUAGCAAAUGCCGAGCCCUGUUUCCAGAUUUGGAAAUGAUCUACAACAAAGAAACAAUGCCUACUUAUAUGGGCCGUACAACAACUGUGCUGAGGUAGAAUCAUUUAACAGGCUUCUGAAUGCCCAUGUGGACAUUUCCAUGGGAUUACCUGGUCCUCUAGUGGAUUAAUUCACCUGGGAAUCUCUUAAAUUUAAAGGAAAAUAAAGACUAGUACAUAACCUAAAAUGAUUCAAGUUUCAUUUAGGAAAUUAUAUUUUUACCAGAAUUUUUUGAGCUCCAGAAUAUAGUUUAAUGACUACUGGUUUAAUGCAUAAGUCAUUUGACAUUGUUGAUCUUAUAAGUGCCAAUUGGUUUGAAGAUUUUCAUUGUCCCUCAGCCAGCCUUUAUUUAAUGUCUGCAACUUGCAAACAUUAAUAUUACAGCAAGAAAGCUACACUGGAAUUUGUACCUUUAUUUCUGUAGUGUUUGCAACCAAAAUAAACACGAGUGUAAUUUAAAGUUUUGGAAUAAUUGAUAUAUUUUAUGUGUCAAACAGAAUACAGCAGUUUCAGCUCACUGCACUGUAAAAAUAUAAUUGAAGGUGAUGUAAGGAUUAAUUAAUUGAUAACAUUCUUUUAUUUGUUUGAACAAUUUUGUAAAUGAACCAACAGAAAUACUGAAAUUAAACCUGAAUUCUAAGGCUGCGGCUGAUCAUAACUAAAAACUAAAAGUCCUUCAGUUCUCACUUGUGAAUUUCUUGUUAAAACUAUGACUGACGGAACCUAUUGCUAUGUUUCUGUAUUUCUUUUCCCUUUUCCCAUUAAAUCCUUGUGGUCUCUGUAUCUCAAGCUA